GACGAACGCUGGCGGCGUGCUUAACACAUGCAAGUCGAACGGAAAGGCCCUGCUUUUGUGGGGUGCUCGAGUGGCGAACGGGUGAGUAACACGUGAGUAACCUGCCCUUGACUUUGGGAUAACUUCAGGAAACUGGGGCUAAUACCGGAUAGGAGCUCCUGCUGCAUGGUGGGGGUUGGAAAGUUUCGGCGGUUGGGGAUGGACUCGCGGCUUAUCAGCUUGUUGGUGGGGUAGUGGCUUACCAAGGCUUUGACGGGUAGCCGGCCUGAGAGGGUGACCGGACACAAUGGGACUGAGAUACGGCCCAGACUCCUACGGGAGGCAGCAGUGGGGAAUAUUGCACAAUGGGCGGAAGCCUGAUGCAGCAACGCCGCGUGCGGGAUGACGGCCUUCGGGUUGUAAACCGCUUUCGCCUGUGACGAAGCGUGAGUGACGGUAAUGGGUAAAGAAGCACCGGCUAACUACGUG
rnacentral:rRNA from 1 species